rnacentral:piRNA from 1 species
UGGCAUAGUGCAAAAUAGUCCUUUCUUCAUC